rnacentral:lncRNA from 1 species
UGAUGGUCUGCAGUGGUGGAUUGAGGUGACAAGGCAAUAACCCUAGUUGCCAGCUCAUUCUUGUCUUAAGCAAGUCACUCACCUAGUUCAAUUUGGAUCACGUAGGUCCCCAAAUUUAUGUAUGAUAUAUGUAUGAUAUAUUGUCUUAGCUUAGCCCGAGCAAAUGUAAAUCUGAUUGAGUCUGGCUCAUUUAAUGGAUGAGCUCAAAUUUCAGACUUGAUCUGGUCUGCCAGGAUUAAAAUCCAAGUCCAAGCCUAUUUAAAACUCUUCAGACUUGAGCAAAUUAGG